GCUUAAACCCUUUACGCAGAGGUUCAAGUCCUCUCUCUAGCC
rnacentral:tRNA from 1 species